rnacentral:rRNA from 1 species
AUUGAACACUGGCGGCAGGCUUAACACAUGCAAGUCGAGCGGGGGAAGGUAGCUUGCUACUGGACCUAGCGGCGAACGGGUGAGUAAUGCUUGGGAAUCUGCCUAUUAGUGGGGGACAACAUCUCGAAAGGGAUGCUAAUACCGCAUACGUCCUACGGGAGAAAGCAGGGGAUCUUCGGACCUUGCGCUAAUAGAUGAGCCUAAGUCGGAUUAGCUAGUUGGUGGGGUAAAGGCCUACCAAGGCGACGAUCUGUAGCGGGUCUGAGAGGAUGAUCCGCCACACUGGGACCGAGACACGGCCCAGACUCCUACGGGAGGCAGCAGUGGGGAAUAUUGGACAAUGGGGGGAACCCUGAUCCAGCCAUGCCGCGUGUGUGAAGAAGGCCUUAUGGUUGUAAAGCACUUUAAGCGAGGAGGAGGCUACUCUAGUUAAUACCUAGGGAUAGUGGACGUUACUCGCAGAAUAAGCACCGGCUAACUCUGUGCCAGCCGCCGCAGUAA